rnacentral:rRNA from 1 species
GACGAACCAUGCAAACGUUAUUCGGAUUCACUGGGCUUAAAGCGUGCGUAGGCGGUCGUGUUAGUCAGGUGUGAAAGCCCUCAGCCUAACUGAGGAAUUGCGCUUGAUACUGCAUGACUAGAGAAUGAUAGAGGUGGGUGGAACUGAUGGUGGAGCGGUGAAAUGCGUUGAUAUCAUCAGGAACACCAGUGGCGAAGGCGACCCACUGGGUCAUUUCCGACGCUGAGGUACGAAAGCUAGGGUAGCGAACGGG